CGAGCAACUUCAGCGCCUCUCUGCCCUAACAACUCUUUGUUUAGAUGGUUUUGGAGUGAAAUCAUUGCCCGAUUGUUUUGGGAAGCUUUCGUCACUUGAACAACUUAGGCUCUGGGAUUGUGAAAAGCUAGAGAAUUUACCCCAAUCUAUGAGAAGCCUCACCAGACUAAGAAGCCUGCAGAGUCACGGGUGCCCCCUUCUAAAGGAAAGAUGUAAACCAGAGAGCAGCAGUAGCAGCACCACCGACCCCAAUUCUGAGUGGUCGAAGAUCUCCGGCAUUCCCCAAAUCCGGAUACUGUAAUUGUUUAGCAGCAAAUCAGAGGCUAAUCCCCAUUUGAAGCUCAUAAAUAACGUCAGUUUUCCCAAUUAAAGCUACUAGCCUAACUUCUGCUCAGUCAUUGAUGCGAACUAUUUUUCCUUCAUCCUGUGCGUUUCUGCUUUCUAGGCGGUUUUGAGUCUAGCUUGAGAGUCUACUCUCAGAUUGAUAAAUUGUGGAAGAAUAUAUGAGGCUGACAACGACAGAUCAUUCUGGCUAGCUGCAGGGAUUCUCAUGCAUGAGGUUAAAUAACAGAGCUAUGGAUGAGCAAUACAUGGGAAAGCCACUGGUCGGAUUUUUAAGUUGUGAUGACAACUGCUGCAAAUGAGGCUUGUCAGCCCUUUUAAA